rnacentral:rRNA from 1 species
GAUGAACGCUAGCGGCAGGCCUAAUACAUGCAAGUCGAGGGGUAUGGGUUGCUUGCAACCCAGAGACCGGCGCACGGGUGCGUAACGCGUAUGCAAUCUACCUUAAUCAGGGGGAUAGCCCGGAGAAAUCCGGAUUAACACCGCAUAACAUUGAGUUGUGGCAUCACAGUUCAAUCAAAUAUUUAUAGGAUUAAGAUGAGCAUGCGUGACAUUAGUUAGUUGGUGAGGUAACGGCUCACCAAGACCACGAUGUCUAGGGGAUCUGAGAGGAUGACCCCCCACACUGGUACUGAGACACGGACCAGACUCCUACGGGAGGCAGCAGUAAGGAAUAUUGGUCAAUGGGCGCAAGCCUGAACCAGUCAUGCCGCGUGCAGGAAGACGGCCCUAUGGGUUGUAAACUGCUUUUGUACCGGAAUAAACCUUCUCUUGCGAGAGAAGCUGAACGUACGGUAAGAAUAAGGAUCGGCUAACUCCGUG